CUCUCUUUUGAUUCUGUCAGGACAUGAGUAAUGGGCCCUCUCCUUCAAAGAGGAAACAAGAUUGAUGACAGAAAAAAAGGCCAGUGAAGAUCUCCUGCUCCAGCAGAAAACAUGCUUGUUCCGUGUGGAUUUAUGAAGUGGUCACAUCUCCCCUUCCAGAUAAAGCUUGGCAGAGACUCGGCCACCCAGGGUCACAUUUCCUCUGCAGCCAAGCGCAGAGGGAAGAUUCUCCAAUGUGGGUGUGCAAAUAGGACCACCAGUGGGGAGCAGAGGCCGCUUUUCCAGACCAAGAGGAGUCUAGACUAUCACUCACACAUUCCCUGGUCAUCUGGGGCCGCCAGAAUUCUGAGAGUGCUUCAGUGGUCUGAAGCAGUGGAUGCAGAGAUUCUGAAACUGGGCAGAGGUUCCAGAAGACAAGUCAUUUUUCUAGACCUCCCAUAGACGCCAUCGUUGAUCAAGCCAUUUUCAUUUUCACGAAGUAUUUUAUUAUGGAACUCCUAAAGACCAUCAGCCCUACCUGGCACUGGCUUUCUGGUUGAAAAGCAGCAUUGUGGAGCCUGAAACAUCAUCAGAGGCAACUGCUUCCCCUCCCUGUGGAUUUAGGACCGCUAUGUGCAGAGGUCUGUAUUAGAGAGCCAGCUAGAGUAGCCAGCAGUGACAUAACUAUGUAGGGAGAAGACACAGUUGUCACCUUGACCCCACUGGAUACAGAAAUGUCAAUGGAAAAACAAAUUCUGCAUCUGCUGAAUUGUUCUGUCAAUGCUUGCACUUUCUUGUCAUUUACUAUAUAGAAAGAAUUAUUAGUAUCUUUUAUUUGUCAGUUAUUGAUCCACCUUUUUUUUUUUUUUUUUUUUGGUGGCAGUUCUCCUGUUUGUUAGUUUGCUGUCCCAGUUGAAUUCUGAGUUUCCGGGAAUCCCUAGUGCAAUGAGAAAUGAUGGAGAACCAAUUCUCAUUAUCUGAUGAAGGAAAGAGCCAUGUACCUACAACAGCAAAGGCUCAGACAAGCCUUCUCCUGCCUUGGGUUCAUGGUCACGUGCUGUAGGUGUCUUGUCUUCCCAUGUGCACCUGUCUGCAUCCUCAUGGUGCAUCCUCAGGAUGUCCCGUACAGUGUCUUACCUAUGGUUAUGCUUUUAUAACAAUGUGCUAAUAAAAGCAUGGAUUACAAAACAAAA